UUUUGUUGGGAAAGCUGUAAAGUGAAGAUCCAAAAUGACUGGGGCCAGGAAAGCCUUGGACAAGAACAACCUCCAAAGGGGGAGCAUGGGCCUGAGGCCUGAGGCCUGUUUACCAGGCUGCACCCCAUGGGGCCCAGAGGGAUCUUUCCAGCCACUUGAAGAUUCGAAGAAAGAGAGAGUUUGGGACCAGCAAACCUUUGAACAAGAGCUUUUUCCAGCGGGGAAUGUGGUCCUGAGGCCUGUUUGACAGGCUGCACCCUGUGGGGGCUCAGAACACGCAGGACUGGGCUCACACAUAGAAGAAAGUAAGUUGGUAGAUUGAGCCAAAGUCCUACAAUUUGGUGACCCCAACGUGAUGAAGACGGAGAAGUGACGGAAAAGAGAGAAAAAUAGAAACAACGGACAACUGACGUCUGAUGACAACAAGCGG